UACGUAGGGUGCGAGCGUUAAUCGGAAUUACUGGGCGUAAAGUGUGCGCAGGCGGCCGCGCAAGUCGAGUGUGAAAGCCCCGAGCUUAACUUGGGAACUGCGCUCGAAACUACGUGGCUGGAGUGUGGCAGAGGAAGGUGGAAUUCCACGUGUAGCGGUGAAAUGCGUAGAGAUGUGGAGGAACACCAAUGGCGAAGGCAGCCUUCUGGGCCAACACUGACGCUCAUGCACGGAAGCGUGGGGAGCAAACAGG
rnacentral:rRNA from 1 species